rnacentral:rRNA from 1 species
UUCUAUAAGAUAUAAUUUAUAGUACUGCCUGCUCAAUGUGAACAUUAAUAGCCGCAGAACAACUGUGCAAAGGUAGCGUAAUCACUUGSKUCWYAAUUAGAAGAUAGUAUGAAAGGCAAAACACCUAAAAUAUGUCUCUYUUAAUAAAAAUGAAUCUAUAAAUAAAGUUAAAAUACUUUUAAAAUGCAGCAGGACGAUAAGACCCUGAUAAACUAUAUACUUUUAGUUGGGGAAACAUAAUAACAACACUUUAUAAUUUUAUCCAUACACAACUAAAACAUUAAAUAAAGACUAGUUACUACAGGGAUAACAGCGCUAUUUCUUUUAAGAGACCUUAUCAAAAAAGAAGUUUACGACCUCGAUGUUGAAUUAAGUAACCCAAUAUAAAGCAAAAUUUUAUCGGGGUGGUCUGUUCGACCAUUAAUAACUU